rnacentral:lncRNA from 1 species
UAAUGUGAUUUAGAGUGACAUGCAGCCAAGCAUUAUACCAAAGAUUCAAUAAAUAUUUAGGAUGGUUGCAGGUUUUUUUAUAAUGAUUUAGGGCUACAUGCAGUCAAGAGGUUGAGUUCCUUAAUCGUGCAUCCUUGAGAUCGGGAUGCAAAUCGUUGGAGGCUGAGCUCCCAUCCCAAUUUAUUGAACUAAGUUUCCAAGCCACACAUCCCUGC